CUGGUAACAAUAAUACCCUGUGGACAUGAUGUAUGCUAUUUAUAGAAUAACAAGUCAAUCAAUGAUCCUUGUCUUGUUUUUUCCCCGUUCUGCCGGCUAAGUACACAGUAAUCCCAGUAGCGAGUUCGGGCUUUAAACAUUUGUUGAGGUGAAAUGUCAAAUUACGUCAGCAGAGUAGACGCUCCAGCCGUCCGCUUUAAAUUUCCCUAACUCCAUUUAAAAGUAGAGUAUCAAGUUAGUGAACUCACCGUGAGUGGCUGCGUGUGUAUUAACCGAGGAUAUCUAUUGAAAAGAUAAUUGUUAUGCGGACAGGCUUCCAAGGAAAUAACAGGAGACGUUUGAAGUCUAAAUAAAAUGUUGUGGAGAACCGGUCGGACGAUUUAAUUGUAGUACGGAGUGCUAAUUACACGUCACAGAAGUUAGGAAAUCUUAAUUAAUCAACGAAUUCACAGGAAACUGGUCCGGCCGUCGAUCAUGAGACCACGCACAAAAACGAAGUGGCUUUACUGGGCCUGUUUAGCACUCAUAUUGCUGCUGGUUGUAUAUAGACUGAGACACAGUGGAAAUGAUAUUUCUCAGACCGUCACCGUCACCGUCACCCCACACAUAGAUAUAAAGGAUCUCAUCGACAUAAAAGACACGAUGGACAAUUCAUCAUUGCAGCAGGGGGCCACGCUGAACGGGUACAUUGUUUAUGAUUGUGACGAACAACAUCCGGGAGAUUGUGGAGGGUGGUCAGACCGCAUGUCAGGCAUGUACAGUGCCUACGUCAUUUCCGUUGUUUUACAUAAACAUUUUCUCAUCAGGUGCACAAAAUCCGGCAAUUUGACGGAUUUUUUGAGUCCGGCUACUUUUGACUGGAGAUAUAACUCGUCCAUUCUUGCAGGGAGAACAUGGGGGAUAUCAGGAUUUUGUUAUCAAAGUUCCAGAUGCUCUCAAGAAGAGGGAUUUAGCAGGGCUUCAUAACUUAUUCACUAAGGAUGUUAAUUUUGUGCGGUUCAACUGGGACUACACUCUGCAUUUUAGAAAGUUUCGACGUAUACAAAAUGUUCUUCCAUGGCUGUUAGAAUUACAUUUCGCUGAUAUAUAUUUUAAUUUUUUUCACACUCUUUUCAAACCUAAGAACAGUAUCAAAGAGGAAGUAAACAGGGUUGUGCAAAAUACACGAAAACUAGCAUGUGCUCAUAUUCGUAUGGGUGGAAGUGAAACGAUACCUGGAGAUGACAAACACACGGACAAAUCACAGCUGAAAUAUAUUUGGAAUUUGCUGAAGACAAUGGAAAAUAGAAAUUAUAGCAUCUUUGUUGCGACAGAUGCACAAUUUGUACGGGAACAAGCGAACGCAUUAUUCGAUAAUCUACUGGAAGCAGAAGGACGGAUCCUUCAUAUAGACUGGAAACCUAAAGGGGAAGGCCUAGCUAGUGGUUACAGAAGAGUUGUUGUGGAUUUUUUUGUUCUCACUAAAUGUGAUGUUUUAAUAUUGACAAAGAGUGGGUUCGGAGUUAUGGCCGCUUAUCUCAAUACUAAUAUUUCCAAAAUGUACUGUCUAACACCCAGCGAACUGAUACCCUGUUCUCGCUAUAACCUCAAUGAUUACUACGCCGGCGAGUUUCUCUCUCCUUACUAGUAAUUUGUACCUGAAGCACUCCUGUAGUUUGAAUAAUGGUACGACAAUGGUGUCACCUCAAAUACUUCGGAUAAGAUAACAUUCUUUUUAUUUAUCUUUGUGUUUGAUGUGUAAAGUCUGAGGGCAACGCACCAUUACUCGUCAAAUUUGAUCAUUAUUAUCAAAUUUAGACAUUCCUAAAAUGAAUCAUUUCGAGAUCCCGUAAUGAAGCCAAUGAAAUAAACUGAUGUGAAGGAGAAUAUGUACAGCGAUUUGCAUUUGGUAAAUGUGGUUAAUGCAAUUCUGUCACCUCAAAUACUUCAGAUAAGAUACCAUUUUGAUUUAUCUUAGUGUUUCGUGUGUAAAGCCUAAGAUAUUUGUCAGAUUUGAUCAUCAUUAUCAAAUUAAGACAUUCCUGAAACAAACCCAUUAUCCCGCAAUAGAGUUAAUAAAUGGAAUUGGUGUUAUCUGAA